rnacentral:misc_RNA from 1 species
GAAAUGCGAUAAGUAAUGUGAAUUGCAGAAUUCAGUGAAUCAUCGAAUCUUUGAACGCACAUUGCGCCCGCCAGUAUUCUGGCGGGCAUGCCUGUCCGAGCGUCAUUUCAACCAUCAAGCCCCCGGGCUUGUGUUGGGGACCUGCGGCUGCCCGCAGGCCCUGAAAACCAGUGGCGGGCUCGCUGUCACACCGAGCGUAGUAGCAAUCACCUCGCUCAGGGCGUGCUGCGGGUUCCGGCCGUUAAACAGCCUUACAAAACCCAAGGUUGACCUCGGAUCAGGUAGGAAGGCCCGCUGAACUUAAGC